rnacentral:rRNA from 1 species
CCUACGGGAGGCAGCAGUGAGGAAUAUUGGUCAAUGGACGCGAGCCUGAACCAGCCAAGUAGCGUGAAGGAUGACUGCCCUAUGGGUUGUAAACUUCUUUUAUAUGGGAAUAAAAUGUUCCACGUGUGCGUUUUUGUAUGUACUUUAUGAAUAAGGAUCGGCUAACUCCGUGCCAGCAGCCGCGGUAAUACGGAGGUGCCGAGCGUUAUCCGGAUUUAUUGGGUGUAAAGGGAGCGUAGGUGGUUUGUUAAGUCAGUUGUGAAAGUUUGCGGCUUAACCGUAAAAUUGCAGUUGAAACUGGCAGUCUUGAGUACAGUAGAGGUGGGCGGAAUUCGAGGUGUAGCGGUGAAAUGCUUAGAUAUAACGAAGAACUCCAAUUGCGAAGGCAGCUCACUGGACUGUAACUGACGCUGAGGCUCGAAAGUGUGGGUAUCAAACAGGAUUAGAUACCCGAGUAGUC